GACGAACGCUGGCGGCGUGCUUAACACAUGCAAGUCGAACGGAAAGGCCCUGCUUGCCGGGUACUCGAGUGGCGAACGGGUGAGUAACACGUGGGUUAUCUGCCCUGCACUUCGGGAUAAGCCUGGGAAACUGGGUCUAAUACCGGAUAGGAGCCAUUUUUAGUGUGAUGGUUGGAAAGUUUUUUCGGUGUAGGAUGAGCUCGCGGCCUAUCAGCUUGUUGGUGGGGUAAUGGCCUACCAAGGCGGCGACGGGUAGCCGGCCUGAGAGGGUGGACAGCCACAUUGGGACUGAGAUACGGCCCAGACUCCUACGGGAGGCGGCAGUGGGGAAUAUUGCACAAUGGGCGCAAGCCUGAUGCAGCGACGCCGCGUGGGGGAUGACGGCCUUCGGGUUGUAAACUCCUUUCGCUAGGGACGAAGCUUUUUGUGACGGUACCUAGAUAAGAAGCACCGGCUAACUACGUG
rnacentral:rRNA from 1 species